AGUUGUGUUCAAAAACCGUAAAAUUAUCACAGAGCCGCUCAAUAAAACGCUUUUUACUACGAUCUGGAGACAUCUACGCAACUACUUUCGGAUCAAAAAGCGCGAAAAUGACGUGAAAAUGUUCAUAAAAACCACUUUACAAAACAGACGCUGGUGGGGGAAGAAACAGUGGCGUGCUACACUGACAUUUUCGCUACGAACGGCCGCUAAAAAAUGCCAAUGC